rnacentral:rRNA from 1 species
CCUACGGGGCGCAGCAGUGAGGAAUAUUGGUCAAUGGACGCAAGUCUGAACCAGCCAUGCCGCGUGCAGGAAGACGGCUCUAUGAGUUGUAAACUGCUUUUGUACGAGGGUAAACGCAGAUACGCGUAUCUGUCUGAAAGUAUCGUACGAAUAAGGAUCGGCUAACUCCGUGCCAGCAGCCGCGGUACUACGGAGGAUUCAAGCGUUAGCCGGAUUUAAUGGGUUUAAAGGGUGCGUAGGCGGUGGGAUAAGUUAGGGGUGAAAUCCCGAGGCUCAACUUCGGAAUUGCAUCUGAUACUGUUCGGCUAGAGAGUAGGUGCGGUAGGCGGAAUGUAUGGUGUAGCGGUGAAAUGCUUAGAGAUCAUACAGAACACCGAAUGCGAAGGCAGCUUACCAAGCUACUUCUGACGUUGAGGCACGAAAGCGUGGGGAGCAAACAGGAUUAGAUACCCUUGUAGUC